UAACGGGCAGGAAAGCCCAGCUCCUUUU
rnacentral:sRNA from 1 species